ACAGCCUGUUACUUGAACAACUUCAAAGAGAAAGGCUAUGGCUCUGAGCGAAAGCUGGUAACAAAUGCUUGUGGGUUUCAAGUAGAGGUGGUGGCAAACGGGAAGUACUGGCCAAGCUUUACAGAAGCUCAGAACUGCCUCUCUUGUGCCCCUGUUACAUCAUCUCUGUUAUAUUUCCCCUGUACUAGUGUGGGGAAGUCAUUUCUGCUUUCUCCAGAGAUACCUGUCUUAGUCCUCUUUAUAGACCACAGUGUGUGUCGGGAGCCUGGAAAGGAGACUGAGACCAUGCGCAUCAUCAGAGGGACACGAAUGCAGAAGUGAAGGAGCGGCUUGGUCCUCCACUUCUUUGGGCAGAAGGUGCUGAGUGUUCUUUGCUUUCUCAGAUGCCUCUGUGUGACACUGGCUGCAGACCCGUGGAAGUAGCUCCUGAGUUUGAUGGCUCAGGGAACUUGGUUCCAGCUGUGAGGCACUGGCCAUCAGGGGCUCUUCCUAGGACUUGCUACCAUUUCCAAUACCUCUUCCUAGAAAACACACUCACUCACUGGUGGUUGGAUCAGAAAGGAUCUCUGUUGGCAAGAUUUCGAACUCCAAUCGCCUGAAGUGUGCUAAGUAGUUGCUCGGGCAGUGGGGUCCACACAGCUGUUCCCAUGUUCCCAUGUUGCUUGGAACCGCAUUGUUUUCCCUGGUUUGCCCACCCUACUACCCUGCGUCACUCGCGACAUCUUGAGAGGCUCCAUUCAAGCCCCCCUUCAAGUCCAGAAGUGUUCUCUGACUGCAGCCAAUCAGGGCAGCUUGCUUUGAUUUCCCACGCUGCACCUGAUUAUCUUUCUGAUUGAGUAAAUAAAUAAAGCUACACACGG